CUUCAUCAUUUUAUUUGAGGUAAAAAUUUCUAAUCUUUUUGGUGGAUUUUACACUUUUGCUUGAGGUUAUUUUUAUCUAAGCUUUAAUAAUGAUACCCAUGUGAUUUAUGAGCAUUGGAAGUGAUAUUUAUGUGUUUUAUGUAUGGGUUUUGUAUUGGUAGAAUUAUUUGAUGAGUGGGUAUAUAUUUUGUGCUAUUGAUGACUACUUAAGGUUUAUGUAUGAUGGAAAAAUUUAGGGGGUUUUAAGUUAUAACAUGUGAUGGUUGGUGAAUUUAAUUUUUCUAUUGUCAUUGGGUUUAUUUGGAGUUAGUUGAGGUUCCAAAUUUCUUAUCUUGGAGGAUAUAUUGAUUUUGCUUUCAUGGGUCUCUUAAUGAUGUAGUGUAAAUUUUAUGGAAACUAGUUAUAAUGUUGGAGAUGAUAUUAAAUGGGUUAACUUUAUAAUUGGAGUUUAUGCCUUGUGAAUCAUUUUGUUGAGAAACUAUGGAAGUUGAAUAUAUUAUUAUUGAUGAGGUUAGAUGCUAGGCUUGCCUAAUUAAGUGAUUAUUUGGCAAUUCCUAAAUUGUGGCUAGAUGCAAUUUCAAGUUCUAUACUCAUUGUGAUAGGUUUACUUGAUAUUGUUUAGGUUCUAGCUAAUCUCCUUAGAGCUUGGAGAAUUAGGAUUUUGCGGUUGCGAGUCUUUGUGACAAUGGAAUCAAAUCUAGAUCAGUGCCCUUUCACUUUGGAUGAUGCGUUCUUCCCUGCUGUCCAUGGGGGGAAAAGGUUCCUUAAUUGUGUGUGGGUGAGGCUGCUAUCCAUGGGGCCAAGAGACCACAUGCAAGAAAGGUCCUAUUUGUCGCGCUCUCUCUGCCACCCAUGGGGGGAGAGAAAAACCUUAAGGGUAUGAGUGAGGCUGCUGUCCAUAGGGCCAAGAGUCUUCAUAUUAGAGAGGACAAUAUCAUGCCAGUUGUGAAUGGAUGGAUCCCCUGACCAGUUUAUGUGGUAGUAUGUUAUAUUCAUGAUAAAUUAUCGUAUGUUAGAUUUUAUGACUUUGGAAAUUAUAUGGUUAGUGCUCACAUAUUAUAGUAUAUAGUUUCAAGGUAUUUACUUUGAGAAACUUUGUGUUUUAUUAUUAAAUCAUUCUUGUCAUAUUAUUAUUAUUAUUAUUGAAGAUGAAACUUGUAUUUCCCCCACUCCCAUUAAAUAUGCUACUUAUUGGGCUCUGUUUCAUCCCAUUAUUUUAUAAACUUCCAAAGUAGGCAACAAUCUUUUGAGACAACUUUUUGGGUGGCUAAUAGUAGUUAGACUAACUACUAAUGGAGGCUGAACUUUUGUAAUGGAUAUAUUAGAUGGUGUACAUCUUAGACUAGGCUUGACUCAUUCUUUUAUAUAUUAUAGUGGUUAUGACUGUAUUUCCCACUGAUGGGACAAGCUGUUGAUAUGUAAUUGUUUAUUUAGACCUCUAUUCUUUUGUGGCCAAUGAUCCUUGUAAUUAAUGCUUAGAGCUCUGAUUUACUCUGAGUAUAUAUUCUAUGGGAUUAUUAUGAUAA